GGCUAUGUAGCUCAGUUGGUUAGAGCGUGGCACUCAUAACGCCGAGGUCGGUGGUUCAAGUCCACCCAUAGCCACCA
rnacentral:tRNA from 1 species